rnacentral:lncRNA from 1 species
GCCGUUGUUUUGUUUAUAUAAUUAUUUGAAAGUUUUUUUGCGGUACUUAUCAAUUAUAACUAGGUUUACGAGGCUAAUCAGAAAACAAGGAUAACUAUAUUUUAGUAUUUUGAGGUGGUUAAGAAUCAUGUAAGCAUUUCACUUGACAAAGAUAAAACAAAAAUCGCCUAUACGGCUCGUAGCCUCGUAGCAAUUGUUAUAU